rnacentral:rRNA from 1 species
AUUGAACGCUGGCGGCAGGCCUAACACAUGCAAGUCGAGCGGAUGAGGGGAGCUUGCUCUCUGAUUCAGCGGCGGACGGGUGAGUAAUGCCUAGGAAUCUGCCUGGUAGUGGGGGACAACGUUUCGAAAGGAACGCUAAUACCGCAUACGUCCUACGGGAGAAAGCAGGGGACCUUCGGGCCUUGCGCUAUCAGAUGAGCCUAGGUCGGAUUAGCUAGUUGGUGGGGUAAAGGCUCACCAAGGCGACGAUCCGUAACUGGUCUGAGAGGAUGAUCAGUCACACUGGAACUGAGACACGGUCCAGACUCCUACGGGAGGCAGCAGUGGGGAAUAUUGGACAAUGGGCGAAAGCCUGAUCCAGCCAUGCCGCGUGUGUGAAGAAGGUCUUCGGAUUGUAAGGCACUUUAAGUUGGGAGGAAGGGCAGUAAGUUAAUACCUCGCUGUUUUGACGUUACCAACAGAAUAAGCACCGGCUAACUUCGUGCCAGCCGCCGCAGUAACAC